rnacentral:rRNA from 1 species
UACAGAGGUGCCGAGCGUUAGGCGGAAUCACUGGGCUUAAAGCGUGUGUAGGCGGAUCUGUAAGUACCUUGUGAAAUCCCACGGCUCAACCGUGGAACUGCUUGGUAUACUGCGGGUCUUGAGCCACCUAGGGGCAAGUGGAACAAACGGUGGAGCGGUGAAAUGCGUAGAUAUCGUUUGGAACGCCAAUGGUGAAAACAACUUGCUGGGGGUGUGCUGACGCUGAGACACGAAAGCCAGGGGAGCAAACGGG